rnacentral:tRNA from 1 species
AAGCUUAUGAUGUAAUAUUUGCAUGGUGGUUUUUCAACCCACUUGUUUUAAAGUUUU